AUUGAACGCUGGCGGCAUGCCUUACACAUGCAAGUCGAACGGUAACAGGUCUUCGGAUGCUGACGAGUGGCGAACGGGUGAGUAAUACAUCGGAACGUGCCUAGUAGUGGGGGAUAACUACUCGAAAGAGUGGCUAAUACCGCAUGAGAUCUACGGAUGAAAGCAGGGGAUCGCAAGACCUUGUGCUACUAGAGCGGCCGAUGGCAGAUUAGGUAGUUGGUGGGAUAAAAGCUUACCAAGCCGACGAUCUGUAGCUGGUCUGAGAGGACGGACAGCCACACUGGGAAUGGGACACGGCCCAGACUCCUACGGGAGGCAGCAGUGGGGAAUUUUGGACAAUGGGCGAAAGCCUGAUCCAGCAAUGCCGCGUGCAGGAUGAAGGCCUUCGGGUUGUAAACUGCUUUUGUGCGGAACGAAAAGCCCCGGGUUAAUACCCUGGGGUCAUGACGGUACCGUAAGAAUAAGCACCGGCUAACUACGUGCCAGCCGCCGCAGUAA
rnacentral:rRNA from 1 species